GGGUUCUUCUCUGGUUCACCUCUCAGGUCCUGGGCAGUGGGGUUCUUCUCUGGUUCACCUCUCAGGCCCUGGGCAGCGGGGUUCUUCUCUGGUUCACCUCUCAGGUCCUGGGCAGUGGGGUUCUUCUCUGGUUCACCUCUCAGGCCCUGGGCACUGGGGUUCUUCUCUGGUUCACCUCUCAGGUCCUGGGCAGUGGGGUUCUUCUCUGGUUCACCUCUCAAGCCCUGGGCAGCGGGGUUCUUCUCUGGUUCACCUCUCAGGCCCUGGGCAGCGGGGUUCCUCUCUGGUUCACCUCUCAGGCCCUGGGCAGCCCAGAGUUUCCUCUCUCCUCUCAGAGCCCCAACAACAUCAUACAGCUAUCUGGAACUUCAAAUGAAAAUGUAUAGCGUUUCAAGCUUUCAGUGAGCCAAAUGAUGUUUAGAGCGAGAGAGAGCCUGGCCCUGUAUUGGCUUAAUAGCAGGAAGGAGGGUCUGGUAUCCCACUAGACUACGUAGCCUGUACUUGACCUGAAUGACUAGGGCUGUGACUCCAUACAGAAUAUCUACAGACUGAGACAUGGAGCCAGAGGACUGAUACCAGCCAGGAAGAGGGACGUGUUUUCCACCCACUUCAUAUGAGUUGAGGAAACCCAAAAGGGCUGAGUCAGAGAUCCCAUCUCUUCCGGAGUCAGACAGGGCCAUGCAGGCCAAGCCAGGGCAGGGCAGAGCCAAGCGGAGGGAGCUCCCCUUUGAAAACCCUGUCUGUGGAAAGAUCAACGGGCAACUCCUGGGGGAGUCACUGUGCUGUCCUAGUCCUACCCAAACAUCCCCAUGGCCUGGGGUCUGGCUGGGGUCAUAUUCAUUAGGCACCAAAUGGAAGAAAAUGGACUAAGACAGGAACGAAUUGCCUGGAUUUACUACUUGUUUUAGUGUUCCAUUGAAAACAGUUUGCUACGGUGUGGCCUAAUGACGAUUACCCAGGCAUGCAGC
rnacentral:lncRNA from 1 species